rnacentral:rRNA from 1 species
GUGGGGAAUAUUGGACAAUGGGCGCAAGCCUGAUCCAGCCAUGCCGCGUGCAGGAAGACGCAUCUAUGGUGUGUAAACUGCUUUUGUACGGGAAGAAACACUCCCUCGUGAGGGAGCUUGACGGUACCGUAAGAAUAAGGAUCGGCUAACUCCGUGCCAGCAGCCGCGGUAAUACGGAGGAUCCAAGCGUUAUCCGGAAUCAUUGGGUUUAAAGGGUCCGUAGGCGGUUUAAUAAGUCAGUGGUGAAAGCCCAUCGCUCAACGAUGGAACGGCCAUUGAUACUGUUAGACUUGAAUUACAAGGAAGUAACUAGAAUAUGUAGUGUAGCGGUGAAAUGCUUAGAUAUUACAUGGAAUACCAAUUGCGAAGGCAGGUUACUACUUGUGGAUUGACGCUGAUGGACGAAAGCGUGGGGAGCGAACAGGAUUAGAUACCCUUGUAGUCC